CACUCUUGACCUCGGAUCAGGUAGGGAUACCCGCUGAACUUAAGCAUAUCAAUAAGCGGAGGA
rnacentral:rRNA from 1 species